rnacentral:rRNA from 1 species
UGGGGAAUAUUGCACAAUGGGCGGAAGCCUGAUGCAGCGACGCCGCGUGGGGGAUGACGGCCUUCGGGUUGUAAACCUCUUUCAGUGCAGAACAAGGCUCUUUGUGGGGGGAGGGUAUGCGCAGAAGAAGCACCGGCUAACUACGUGCCAGCAGCCGCGGUGAUACGUAGGGUGCGAGCGUUGUCCGGAUUUAUUGGGCUUAAAGAGCUUGUAGGCGGUCGGUCACGUCGAAAGUGCAAACUCAGGGCUUAACCCUGAGCCUGCUUUCGAUACGGGCUGACUAGAGGAAGGUAGGGGAGAAUGGAAUUCCCGGUGGAGCGGUGGAAUGCGCAGAUAUCGGGAGGAACACCAGUGGCGAAGGCGGUUCUCUGGACCUUUCCUGACGCUGAGAAGCGAAAGCGUGGGGAGCAAACAGG